AUUGCACGCUGGCGGCAGGCCUAACACAUGCAAGUCGAACGAGUGGCGGACGGGUGAGUCAUGUCUGGGAAACUGCCCGCUGGAGGGGGAUAACUACUGGAAACGGUAGCUAAUACCGCAUACCAUCGGAUGUGCCCAGCUGGGAUUAGCGUGUAGGUGAGGUAACGGCUCACCUAGGCUACGAUCCCUAGCUGGUCUGAGAGGAUGAUCAGCCAAGUGGGAACUGAGACACGGUCCAUACUGGUACGGGAGGAAGCAGUGGGGAAUAUUGCACAAUGGGCGGAAGAGUGAUGCAGCCAUGCGGCGUGUAUGAAGAAGGCCUGCGGGUUGUAAAGUAAUUGCAGCGGGGAGGCGUUACCCGCAGAAGAAGCACAGGCUAACUCCGUGCAAGCAGCCGCGGUAAUAC
rnacentral:rRNA from 1 species